AUGAAGAUCCUCCUCAUCUUCCUCACUUUCUACCUGAUCUCAGCUGCAGUGAGAUGCUUUAGCGUCACGGGGUAUUCUGGAGCAAGUGUUCUUGUGGAUUCUGGGAAACUUUGGUUCAGUGCAAAUGUUAAAUAUAUGGCCAAAUUACCUGAGUGGAGAAUAAUAAUAAAUGAUAAGAAACAUGAUAAAUGGAUAAAUGAAGGUAGAUUCACACUGUUUCAAAACAAUGAAGGAAACCUCAUGAUCUACAUCAGAGAACUGAACACACAAGAUGCGGGAAGAUACCAGGUUGGGCUUGAUGGCCAAUCGAUCAUUGAUAUAACUUUGAAUGUGGAAGAAGAUUCAUGUUGUAAAGUGUCAAAGCGAGUGAUGGUGAAUAUUGGAGAAACUGCCAAUUUCAGCUGUGAAUAUUCAUAUAAUCAUAUUAAUGACUCCAAAAUCAUAUUCAAAGAAGAAAAAGACUCUGUUGAAGAGAUGAUACGCAUGUACACAUCGAGUAUGAUAGGAAGAUUCAGUGGAUAUGACUGCAGAAACAAAAAGGUCAUAAUUGUGAGAAUCACUGCUGUGACACCAGAUGAUGGAGGAGUUUAUUUAUGUGGAGUUUGGAUCUACAGACAAUCAUACAGUUACUCCAUUAUUAAUACUGUUCAUCUGCAUGUUAUGAGUGAGUAGAACAAAAUUAAUCAAACCUUGCAAAAACAAAUUACAAUCUGUGUUUGCUUAAGAUUUAAUGAUAUUUGUGAUUGACAGCUAAAGUGGGCGUGUCUAUAGUGAGCGGCUCCUCAGGAGGUGGUUUGAUGAUCAAGUGUGAACAUCCUCAAUACAAAACCAACCCAAAAUACAUCUGUAAAGAAUCAGACGGAUGUUCAGAGAGGAAGAAUCCAGGAGUUCAGGGUGAAUGGAUGGAGAAUGGAGAUGUUUCUUUAUAUGACGACACCAGAGCAGGAGUCUUGAUGGUGUUUUUUAGAGAGCUGAAAGCUGCAGAUGCAGGAACAUACAGGUGUGGAGUGAAAGUAUCUGACUAUACUGAGAGCUUCACUGAACUACAGCUGAGCGUCAGACACGGUGAGGAACCUGAGCGCUUCAGUUGUUGGUUAAUAAUUAUUUAAUGGUCAAACUUAUAUACCAAAUACGGGAAUACUUAAUAAGCACAACAAUUAAUUUUAUAAUUGAGCUGUUCUUUGUUUGAAGUGCCUCCAGUAGUGAGAAAUGAAGGAGAAUCUGCUGAGAUCAUCUGCCCUUAUGAUUCAAUCUAUAAAUCAAAGCCAAAGUCUCUAUAUAUUUCAUUUAUAUGUAUCUCUUUAAUUAACCCUCAGUGUGUGUGUUUUAUUCUCAGAUUUCUCGAUGAUCAUCAUUAUUAGUGUGUGUGUGAUUCUGCUGCUGAUCGGUGGAUUCACUCUGACUGUGUGCAAAUUAAGACACAAGAGACGAGGUGACACUUGGUUUUAUUUGUUGAAACAUAAUUUUGCAUGUGUUUAAAUAGAGGUACAGUAUAUUAGUUUUUGUAUUGUCUCUGAGCUGCUUCAAUCUGCUCACUGUCAGCAGAAGUCAGAUUUCUCAUUGAGUUGCUUCAGAUGGUUCUCUGUUUGACGCUUGAUGUUAAUCUGAUUCAUGUGAUUGUCCCUCAGAUCCUGGAUCAGUCCAAAGUCAUGAUGAAUUACCCACAAUCCCCUCUGAUGAGCUCCUGUACGCUGCUGUCAGUUUCCAGAAGCAUGAAGAGUCUCUCAGUGAAGCUACAGUCAGAUUCAGUAAGAUUGAGACUGACUCUGAUUAUGCUGCACUCAGUCACCGCAUGACACUCAACUAACUCACUUAUAACAGAUCACAGGUCAUAAUACAUUACAACAGUAAAAAUAGGCUUUUAAGUUUUUUUUUUUUUUUCUGCUUACACUCUUUUAUUAAAAUCUCUUCAUAAUCCAUAAUUUAGUGUUGACAGUUGUUGGGUUUGAUGAGGGUUGUUUAGUUCAGUUUGUGAAUCAUGAGACAAGUUUCCGCUGCUGCUCAAGUUGCUUCUUUCAGGUGUUUAAAAUAGUGUGUCAUGUCAGUUUAUGUGAGGGUGUUAUGAAGACAGGAAAUAAACCCCUUGACUGACACUUCUAGAAGAUACUA
ensembl:lncRNA